rnacentral:rRNA from 1 species
CGGAGGGAAACCGAGUCUUAAUUGGGCGUUAAGUUGCAGGGUAUAGACCCGAAACCCGGUGAUCUAGCCAUGGGCAGGUUGAAGGUUGGGUAACACUAACUGGAGGACCGAACCGACUAAUGUUGAAAAAUUAGCGGAUGACCUGUGGCUGGGGGUGAAAGGCCAAUCAAACCGGGAGAUAGCUGGUUCUCCCCGAAAGCUAUUUAGGUAGCGCCUCGUGAAUUCAUCUCCGGGGGUAGAGCACUGUUUCGGCUAGGGGGCCAUCCCGGCUUACCAACCCGAUGCAAACUGCGAAUACCGGAGAAUGUUAUCACGGGAGACACACGGCGGGUGCUAACGUCCGUCGUGAAGAGGGAAACAACCCAGACCGCCAGCUAAGGUCCCAAAGUCAUGGUUAAGUGGGAAACGAUGUGGGAAGGCCCAGACAGCCAGGAUGUUGGCUUAGAAGCAGCCAUCAUUUAAAGAAAGCGUAAUAGCUCACUGGUCGAGUCGGCCUGCGCGGAAGAUGUAACGGGGCUAAACCAUGCACCGAAGCUGCGGCAGCGACACUGUGUGUUGUUGGGUAGGGGAGCGUUCUGUAAGCCUGUGAAGGUGGCCUGUGAGGGUUGCUGGAGGUAUCAGAAGUGCGAAUGCUGACAUAAGUAACGAUAAAGCGGGUGAAAAGCCCGCUCGCCGGAAGACCAAGGGUUCCUGUCCAACGUUAAUCGGGGCAGGGUGAGUCGACCCCUAAGGCGAGGCCGAAAGGCGUAGUCGAUGGGAAACGGGUUAAUAUUCCCGUACUUGGUGUUACUGCGAAGGGGGGACGGAGAAGGCUAUGUUGGCCGGGCGACGGUUGUCCCGGUUUAAGCGUGUAGGUGUGUGUUCCAGGUAAAUCCGGUUCACUUUA